GACUGGAGUCUGCAACCCGACUCCACGAAGCUGGAUUCGCUAGUAAUCGCGCAUCAGCCACGGCGCGGUGAAUACGUUCCCGGGCCUUGUACACACCGCCCGUCAAGCCAUGGGAGCCGGGGUACCUGAAGUGCGUAACCGCGAGGAUCGCCCUAGGGUAAAACUGGUGACUGGGGCUAAGUCGUAACAAGGUAGC
rnacentral:rRNA from 1 species